AGCCUUAGGGGUCUCAUAAGAAAGAAAGAAGAUCACUUGAUUAGUUUACAGAGGGGAGCAAUUAGGGCUUGGAAGCUAUCAGUGAAUUCUCCCGGGCACGGGUUUCGGUCUCUAGCACUGCACCCCCAUUAUUUGAUGUUUUCUCAUUAGUAUUUGUAGGCUACUGCUUGUAUGUGCUAUAGAGUACCCGUACUACUUAUUCCAAGUUCCAUUUUGAUGCGCCUGUUUCAUCCCCUUUAUUAGUGGUUU
rnacentral:lncRNA from 1 species